GAGACAGCCCAGACCGUCGUCUAAGGUCCCGAAGCGUGUGCUAAGUGGGAAAGGAUGUGGAGUCGCAUAGACAGCCAGGAGGUUGGCUCAGAAGCAGCCAUCCUUUAAAGAAAGCGUAAUAGCUCACUGAUCGAGUCUUUCUGCGCGGAAGAUGUAACGGGGCUAAGACAAUAACCGAAGCCGCGGAUUCACACGUAAGUGUGAGUGGUAGGGGAGCGUUCUGUAAGCCUGCGAAGGUGGCUUGUAAAGGCUGCUGGAGGUAUCAGAAGUGCGAAUGCUGACAUGAGUAACGUUAAAGUGGGUGAAAAGCCCACUCGCCGUAAGCCCAAGGUUUCCUGCUCUACGUUCAUCGGAGCAGGGUGAGUCGGCCCCUAAGGUGAGGCUGAUAAGCGUAACUGAUGGGAACAAGGUUAAUAUUCCUUGACCGCCGUUGAGUGCGAAGGGGGGACGGAGUAUUGAAGAUCAUCCGGGUGUUGGAUAUCCCGGUUUGCGCGCGUAGGAGGCUGAUAGGCAAAUCCGUCAGCGAAUCUCCGAGGCAAAGCAUCGAGACCUUUUAGGUCGAAGUGAUUGGAUGUGCUCCCAGGAAAAGCCUCUAAGCUCCAGCUCAACGGGACCGUACCGCAAACCGACACUGGUGGGCGAGCUGAAUAUGCUCAGGCGCUUGAGAGAACUCAGGAGAAGGAACUCGGCAAAUUGACACCGUAACUUCGGGAUAAGGUGUGCCUUUGUAGUGUGAAGGAAGAAACAUCCGGAGCAUGAAGAGGUCUCAGAGAAUUGGUGGCUGCGACUGUUUACUAAAAACACAGCACUCUGCAAAGACGAAAGUCGACGUAUAGGGUGUGAUGCCUGCCCGGUGCUGGAAGAUUAAUUGAUGGGGUGCAAGCUCCUGAUCGAAGUCCCAGUAAACGGCGGCCGUAACUAUAACGGUCCUAAGGUAGCGAAAUUCCUUGUCGGGUAAGUUCCGACCUGCACGAAUGGCAUAACGAUGGCCACACUGUCUCCUCCUGAGACUCAGUGAAGUUGAAGUGUUUGUGAUGAUGCAAUCUCCCCGCGGCUAGACGGGAAGACCCCAUGAACCUUUACUGUAGCUUUGCAUUGGACUUUGAACCGAUCUGUGUAGGAUAGGCGGGAGGCUGAGAAGCGGUGACGCUAGUCAUCGUGGAGCCGUCCUUGAAAUACCGCCCUGAUUUGUUUGAGGUUCUAACCUAGGUCAGUGAUCCUGAUCGGGGACCGUGCAUGGUAGGCAGUUUGACUGGGGCGGUCUCCUCCUAAAGGGUAACGGAGGAGUGCGAAGGUACGCUAGGUACGGUCGGAAAUCGUGCUGAUAGUGCAAAGGCAAAAGCGUGCUUGACUGCGAGACCCACAAGUCGAGCAGAUACGAAAGUAGGUCUUAGUGAUCCGGUGGCUCUGUAUGGAAGGGCCAUCGCUCAACGGAUAAAAGCUACCCUGGGGAUAACAGGCUGAUACCGCCCAAGAGUUCAUAUCGACGGCGGU
rnacentral:rRNA from 1 species